AUUGAACGCUGGCGGCAGGCCUAACACAUGCAAGUCGAACGGUAACAGGGAUCAGCUUGCUGAUUCGCUGACGAGUGGCGGACGGGUGAGUAAUGUCUGGGAAACUGCCUGAUGGAGGGGGAUAACUACUGGAAACGGUAGCUAAUACCGCAUAACGUCGCAAGACCAAAGAGGGGGACCUUCGGGCCUCUUGCCAUCGGAUGUGCCCAGAUGGGAUUAGCUAGUAGGUGGGGUAACGGCUCACCUAGGCGACGAUCCCUAGCUGGUCUGAGAGGAUGACCAGCCACACUGGAACUGAGACACGGUCUAGACUCCUACGGGAGGCAGCAGUGGGGAAUAUUGCACAAAGGGCGCAAGCCUGAUGCAGCCAUGCCGCGUGUAUGAAGAAGGCCUUCGGGUUGUAAAGUACUUUCAGCGGGGAGGAAGGGAGUAAAGUUAAUACCUUUGCUCAUUGACGUUACCCGCAGAAGAAGCACCGGCUAACUCCGUG
rnacentral:rRNA from 1 species